rnacentral:rRNA from 1 species
UGCCCAGCAGAGAGACCCGCGAAC